GCCUUUGUAGUAUAGUGGUUAGCAUGCUCAGCGCGUAUUCGAGAGGUCCGGGGUUCGAUUCCCGCCGAGGGCA
rnacentral:tRNA from 1 species